UGAAGAGAGUGAAGUUAGGAAACUGCUUCAGUGUCUGCCUUAUAUCUCACAGCUCAGUUUUGUGACACUUUUAUCAAAACCUUCAGAAGAAAUUAGGUUCUUUGGGAAUCUGUUCUGUGCAGCAGCAGAGAGGCAAGAGCAGACAGGAGAGAAGAUACUGGAGCUGUUAUCAUCAGUGUGCAGAUAUAAAAACUUUCCUCUGAGGGAGACAUGGUGUGACUUCCUCAUAGACCUUUACUAUUAUAGGACUAAAACAGGCUUGAGUGUCCUUCCAUCAUUAAAGUCAGUUUUCCAGUCAACUCCACCAGUCUGGUUCAUAAA